rnacentral:rRNA from 1 species
CAGUCGAAUGUGAAGGGAGCAAUCCCUGAAAAUGGCGAAAGGGCGAGUAAUAUAUUUCUAACGUACCCCGGACUCGACAAUAGUUCGCCGAAAGGUGAGGUAAUAGUCGAUGAUGCUGCUGGGCUGUAUGGCCUGGUUGCCAAAGGUUUACUGGUCUGGGAGCGGGGAAUAUCCUAUCAGGUAGUUGGUGAGGUAAUGGCUCACCAAGCCUAAGACGGGUAGCGGGUGUGAGAGCACGGCCCGCCGCAUCGGGACUGAGACACUGCCCGGACUCCUACGGGAGGCUGCAGUAACGAAUAUUCCGCAAUGCGCGAAAGCGUGACGGAGCGAUGCCGCGUGCAGGAUGAAGCCCCUCGGGGUGUAAACUGCUGUCAGGGUAUAGCAAACAAAUGAGCAAACCCAAAGGAAGAGACGGCUAACUCUGUGCCAGCAGCCGCGGUAAUACAGAGGUCUCGAGCGUUAAUCGGAGUCACUGGGCUUAAAGGGUGCGUAGGCGGGUCUGUAAGUGUCUUGUGAAAUCCCACAGCUCAACUGUGGAAUUGCUCGAUAGACUAUGGACCUUGAGGUUGGUAGGGGUCGCUGGAACUCUAGGUGGAGCGGUGAAAUGCGUAGAUAUCUAGAGGAACGCCGAAGGUGAAGACAAGCGACUGGGCCAAUUCUGACGCUGAGGCACGAAAGCGUGGGGAGCAAACGGGAUUAGAUACCCCGGUAGUCCACGCCCUAAACUAUGUACACUAGAUCGCAGAGGCUCUGACGCCGUUGUGGUCGA